rnacentral:misc_RNA from 1 species
GAUGAAGAACGCAGCGAAAUGCGAUAAGUAAUGUGAAUUGCAGAAUUCAGUGAAUCAUCGAAUCUUUGAACGCACAUUGCGCCCGCCAGUAUUCUGGCGGGCAUGCCUGUUCAAGCGUCAUUACAACCCUCAGGCCCCCGGGCCUGGCGUUGGGGAUCGGCGGAGCCCCCCGUGGGCACACGCCGUCCCCCAAAUGCAGUGGCGGUCCCGCCGCAGCUUCCAUCGCGUAGUAGCUAACACCUCGCGACUGGAGAGCGGCGCGGCCACGCCGUAAAACACCCAACUCUUCUGAAGUUGACCUCGAAUCAGGUAGGAAUACCCGCUGAACUUAAGCAUAUCAAUAAGGGAGGA